UAAAUGGAGAUGUUACAAUUAUAGAUAAGCUAAAAGGUUUCAUUUCGUUUCCAAAAGUUGCUUUCUUAUAUUCUAUGCUAUUUUUUUCAUUGGUGAGUUACUUUUUUAUAUUCGAUAUUCCAUGCUUUCAUAUGGACUUGUAUUCAUUUCCCCUACAGCUCCCGAAAGCACUUUGCACCUUUUUAGAUGUGAAAUCUUAGUAAAAGCUUCAUUCUGCUUUGGAGAAUUAGACAGUUUUCUGAUUGUAACUUGCAGUUGGCAAAGUUAAUGUAGGUCCUCCUCAGCUGUACCAUCACACCUAAUCCUGCUUUUCAUUCCCAUCCACACCUCUCCUACCUAAAUUUAAUCCAUAAUUCAUUCUAAAGACACUCUACAACUACUAGUUGAAAGAACUUCGAAAGUCUUUACAAAAAAUAGAUGAAUCAGAGUUAAUAUUUUCGAAUAAAAUGAUUCUUAAUGCCAAGUUUAUCGAAGGGAAAAAAACAGAUUCAAUCUCAAUGACAGACAUGGUAAUUAGUUUGCGGAGAACUAGAAGGUAGAGUUCUUCACCUACGGUUUUAUUUCUCAUUUACUGGAAGCACCAAGGAGGCAAGAACUGUAUUUAUUUUGAAGCAGGAAUGGAGUGAAAUUGGUCAAGUACAGUUAAAAAUCCUGAGGCAACCUAAUGGUUUUAUAAAUGUUUAUCUGUCAACUGCAUGCCUUCAAGUGGGCCCAGGACCAACAGAGAUUGGCAAUUUGAAUUGGCAGUAGUAGUAGGAUAGAAAAUACGAGCUAGCUUUAUCUAUUAAUUUAGUUUUUAAAUUAUAGCAACUUGCUUGCUUUUCCUUGAAGCUGCAGUUGAAUCACAUAUAACACGGUAGAGAUGCCAUAAUAUAAUGAAGAUCGAAAUAGAAUUGUGAGAGAAAUAUUUCAACAGAGCCGAGUUUAUGCGAAAUGUAAGAAAUUCAAGGAGCAUUUACCAAAUGGUGUGCGAUAGCCACAAAA